rnacentral:rRNA from 1 species
UAGUCAUAUGCUUGUCUCAAAGAUUAAGCCAUGCAUGUCUAAGUAUAACCACGUUUGUACUGGGAAACUGCGAAUGGCUCAUUAAAUCAGUUAUAGUUUAUUUGAUGGUCCCUUACUACAUGGAUAACUGUGGUAAUUCUAGAGCUAAUACAUGCAAUCAAGCCCCGACUUCUGGAAGGGGUGUAUUUAUUAGAUAAAAAACCAACGCGGUUCGCCGCUCGUUUGGUGAUUCAUAAUAACUUCUCGAAUCGCAUGGCCUUGUGCCGGUGAUGCUUCAUUCAAAUAUCUGCCCUAUCAACUUUCGAUGGUAGGAUAGUGGCCUACCAUGGUUUCAACGGGUAACGGGGAAUAAGGGUUCGAUUCCGGAGAGGGAGCCUGAGAAACAGCUACCACAUCCAAGGAAAGCAGCAGGCGCGCAAAUUACCCAAUCCCGACACGGGGAGGUAGUGACAAUAAAUAACAAUACAGGGCUCUUUUGGGUCCUGUAAUUGGAAUGAGUACAAUUUAAAUCCCUUAACGAGGAACAAUU